rnacentral:rRNA from 1 species
CACGCGGCGGGCCUGUUAAGUCGGAUGUGAAAUCCCUCGGCUCAACUGAGGAAGUGCAUUCGAAACUGGCGGGCUUGAGUAUGGUAGAGGGUCGCGGAAUUCCCGGUGUAGAGGUGAAAUUCGUAGAUAUCGGGAGGAACACCAGUGGCGAAGGCGGCGACCUGGGCCAAUACUGACGCUCAUGUGCGAAAGCGUGGGGAGCAAACA